AGGAUAAUAGUUUAAAAUAAAAAACAUUUGAUUUGCAUUCAAARAAUAUUAAAAUAAUAAUUUAUCUUA
rnacentral:tRNA from 1 species